rfam:Plasmodium ovale wallikeri genome assembly, contig: contig11
CAACCUUAACGAUGGAUGUCUUGGUUCCUACAGCGAUGAAGGCCGCAGCGAAGUGCGAUAUGCAAUGAAAAUUGCAGUGACUGUGAAUCAUCGGAAUGCUGAAUGUAAUCUACACUAAUUCCAUCUUGGAAUAAAGUACUCCUUCAUAAUAUUAU